GUUUGCAUAACCACAGUGUUUCUUCUUUAUCUCUGUGUCGUUCGGACUGGAAGUUAAAAGUUCUAAAUAAGAACAAAAAGCGGUUUGUCAAGCAACCACUGAAGAAGCUGCUCUCACUCUGGGAUCUGUAGUCCAAGAGACCCUCGAGAUCGAAGUCCCAGAAUGAGGAUCAGUCUGUUGAUCUUUGGAGUGCUGGUGAUCGUGAAAGGGCAGAAGGAAGAUGAGGAAUGGAUUGAUCCCACUGACAUGCUCAACUACGAUGCUUCUUCAAAAACUAUGAGAAGACCUGGAGAGCCCUCCAACUAUGAAAACGUUCCCACUAAAAGGAAAGAAUACAUCUCGGAUCCAAACCAGCCAGCUUCUUGUCCUGACGUUUCUGAGUGCAGCAACAAGCUUGCAGUUUUAGAGAGAAAGGUCGAAGCUUGCAAAAAGAAAGUUGAAGCUCCACCAACACAAAGUGUGUGCCACCCAGUUUUCAAGAGAUACCUCAACAAGCUAUUGAAGGACAUCCAGAAGUUAGGCUUACCGGAUGAAGUCGGUCAUGAUGUGCACUAUGACGCUGAUGUUCUCCUAACAAGACAGGCUGUCUCAGAGAUCAGGAAGUUUCUGAGCGAUGAGAGUUGGAAACCAGGCGUUAUAGAUGAAGCUCUGAGUCAAAUCUUGAUUAAUUUUAAACCCCAUGACUAUGAAGCAUGGAAGUGGAGCUUUGAAGAAACUUUCGGUGUGGAGCUGGCAACCUUGCUUCAGUUGUUGGCAGUUUCAGCGUUAAUUGUGUUUAUAAUCUGCACUGAACUAUGGACCCAGAUUUCCUGGAUGGCGCAGUUCCGACGCAUGUUUAUCAUUUGCUUCAUGGUCAGCAUUGUCUGGAAUUGGCUGUAUCUCUAUAAGACUGCCUUUGCUGACCACCAGUCUAAUAUAGUGAAGAUGGAGGCUUUCAAUGAUAAAUGCAGUGGAAUAAAGAAGAUAGACUGGAUGGAUAACCUCAAGGAGUGGUAUAGAAGUACCUGGACGCUACAAGAUGACCCGUGCAAGAAAUACUAUGAGCUUGUGUUUGUAGAUCCCAUCUUACUGGUCUCUCCAGUUAAGGCAAUUUCUGUGACUUUUGCCAGUCUCAUAACAGAGCCAUGUAAGCAAGUUGGACAAGGGAUCAGUGACUUCCUCCGAGCUCUCUUAAAGGAUCUGCCUAUAACACUUCAGAUUCCUGUUCUGAUCACUAUAGUGCUUUCUAUGCUGGUUUUUCUCUAUGGCAGUGCCCAGGCAGUCAUUCAGAAUGUUGUCUCUUGGAGGCCUUUGGGGCAUCACGACCCGCGCCCCCCUGCCCUGUUGCACAAUGUCCCACAGGGAGGGAAUGCGAUCCAAGACAUGCAGGCUGGCGGUGAUGCAGGGUUACGGGGCGAAGUGGACAUGAUUCAGCACAACAAGGAUAAACAUGGAGCCCAGUUGCGUCGUAGAAAUCAAAAUCGAAACCGUAGGUACGGCAAAGCUAUUGAAGGAGUGGGACCCACUGACAGACCUAUUAAGCUGUUCCCUCAAGACGAGGUCGAAGGAGAGGUCCUUGAUGAUCUGCCUGGACAGAAAGACAAUCCGAAUGAAAACACAGCAGCAGCAGAGCCAAGCAGUAUAAGGAAAGAGAAGUUGAAAGGAAAGCGAGAAGGGAGCUCUCAAAGAGAUCAGACUAACAGCAACUCCGGAGCAAAAGAUGAAAAGAAGAGCGAGGAUGUAGGGAUCCCUGGGGAAGUGGACGGGACCCAGUUACCCCAUAGUAAUGUAGACAGCGGGUCUGGCAAUGCUGAUAUUAUUGAAGGAGUAGGAGCCACAGGCAGAUCCAAUGAGCAGUUUGAAGAUCUGUCUGGACAGGAAGAUGAAAAUACAGCAGCAGCACCAGUAGACACACAGCAAGAGAACAAAAUAAAAGACAAGCUGAAAAAAAAGAGAGAAGAUAUCACUCAAAGAAGCACCUCUGAAGUAAAAGAUGAAAAGAAGCGUAAGGGAUCAGAUGAAGAGAGCAUGGAGCCACCGCAGACAGAAGAAAAUAGUAAUGAUGAAAAACAAUGAACUCGACAGCACAGAUUGGUAAACAGAACAGUCAUGCAAAGUUCAGUACAGCAAAUCAGUUACAAUUCUCCCAAUUUUCUAUUAUAAAAUCUAUAAGCUGAAUGCAGAUGCUCCUGAACGUUUUCGGCUGUGUUUCCUACAUUCCUUUUCUAUUCGUAGCUGCUGUUCUGCAUUUGUUUUUACAAUGUAUUGAACAUUCUCCAUAGCCCCCCCAAUAUGUGCUGUCUCAGAUAUUGAUCGGCAUGCUUUGUGUCAUCUUCUGAGCUGUUUUUAACUGGAUUUUAACUGAUCAGGAAAAAGAAAAAUCUAGGUUGUCAAUAAAAUAUGGCUUACAAAAAGCUAUUGGAAAUACACAUCACGAAAUUGCUGGUUUCACAGCCUCUAGGUGUCUACCGAUUCACAACAGGACAACUCUGGUUCAGAAGAUGGGAAAGUAAAGCUACCUACACAGGAAACGCAACCCCAUUGUUAAAUUCAUAUACACUGUUUGUUUUUUUUUGUUUUGUUUUUUUAAAUAAAGCUAAUAUUCCCAAGUAA